rnacentral:rRNA from 1 species
GAUGAACGCUGGCGGCGUGCCUAAUACAUGCAAGUCGAGCGAACGGACGAGAAGCUUGCUUCUCUGAUGUUAGCGGCGGACGGGUGAGUAACACGUGGAUAACCUACCUAUAAGACUGGGAUAACUUCGGGAAACCGGAGCUAAUACCGGAUAAUAUUUUGAACCGCAUGGUUCAAAAGUGAAAGACGGUCUUGCUGUCACUUAUAGAUGGAUCCGCGCUGCAUUAGCUAGUUGGUAAGGUAACGGCUUACCAAGGCAACGAUGCAUAGCCGACCUGAGAGGGUGAUCGGCCACACUGGAACUGAGACACGGUCCAGACUCCUACGGGAGGCAGCAGUAGGGAAUCUUCCGCAAUGGGCGAAAGCCUGACGGAGCAACGCCGCGUGAGUGAUGAAGGUCUUCGGAUCGUAAAACUCUGUUAUUAGGGAAGAACAUAUGUGUAAGUAACUGUGCACAUCUUGACGGUACCUAAUCAGAAAGCCACGGCUAACUACGUGCCAGCAGCCGCGGUAAUACGUAGGUGGCAAGCGUUAUCCGGAAUUAUUGGGCGUAAAGCGCGCGUAGGCGGUUUUUUAAGUCUGAUGUGAAAGCCCACGGCUCAACCGUGGAGGGUCAUUGGAAACUGGAAAACUUGAGUGCAGAAGAGGAAAGUGGAAUUCCAUGUGUAGCGGUGAAAUGCGCAGAGAUAUGGAGGAACACCAGUGGCGAAGGCGACUUUCUGGUCUGUAACUGACGCUGAUGUGCGAAAGCGUGGGGAUCAAACAGGAUUAGAUACCCUGGUAGUCCACGCCGUAAACGAUGAGUGCUAAGUGUUAGGGGGUUUCCGCCCCUUAGUGCUGCAGCUAACGCAUUAAGCACUCCGCCUGGGGAGUACGACCGCAAGGUUGAAACUCAAAGGAAUUGACGGGGACCCGCACAAGCGGUGGAGCAUGUGGUUUAAUUCGAAGCAACGCGAAGAACCUUACCAAAUCUUGACAUCCUUUGACAACUCUAGAGAUAGAGCCUUCCCCUUCGGGGGACAAAGUGACAGGUGGUGCAUGGUUGUCGUCAGCUCGUGUCGUGAGAUGUUGGGUUAAGUCCCGCAACGAGCGCAACCCUUAAGCUUAGUUGCCAUCAUUAAGUUGGGCACUCUAAGUUGACUGCCGGUGACAAACCGGAGGAAGGUGGGGAUGACGUCAAAUCAUCAUGCCCCUUAUGAUUUGGGCUACACACGUGCUACAAUGGACAAUACAAGGGGCAGCGAAACCGCGAGGUCAAGCAAAUCCCAUAAAGUUGUUCUCAGUUCGGAUUGUAGUCUGCAACUCGACUACAUGAAGCUGGAAUCGCUAGUAAUCGUAGAUCAGCAUGCUACGGUGAAUACGUUCCCGGGUCU